rnacentral:rRNA from 1 species
AGUCGAGCGACGGACGAGAAGCUUGCUUCUCUGAUGUUAGCGGCGGACGGGUGAGUAACACGUGGAUAACCUACCUAUAAGACUGGGAUAACUUCGGGAAACCGGAGCUAAUACCGGAUAAUAUUUUGAACCGCAUGGUUCAAAAGUGAAAGACGGUCUUGCUGUCACUUAUAGAUGGAUCCGCGCUGCAUUAGCUAGUUGGUAAGGUAACGGCUUACCAAGGCAACGAUGCAUAGCCGACCUGAGAGGGUGAUCGGCCACACUGGAACUGAGACACGGUCCAGACUCCUACGGGAGGCAGCAGUAGGGAAUCUUCCGCAAUGGGCGAAAGCCUGACGGAGCAACGCCGCGUGAGUGAUGAAGGUCUUCGAUCGUAAAACUCUGUUAUUAGGGAAGAACAAAUGUGUAAGUAACUAUGCACGUCUUGACGGUACCUAAUCAGAAAGCCACGGCUAACUACGUGCCAGCAGCCGCGGUAAUACGUAGGUGGCAAGCGUUAUCCGGAAUUAUUGGGCGUAAAGCGCGCGUAGGCGGUUUUUUAAGUCUGAUGUGAAAGCCCACGGCUCAACCGUGGAGGGUCAUUGGAAACUGGAAAACUUGAGUGCAGAAGAGGAAAGUGGAAUUCCAUGUGUAGCGGUGAAAUGCGCAGAGAUAUGGAGGAACACCAGUGGCGAAGGCGACUUUCUGGUCUGUAACUGACGCUGAUGUGCGAAAGCGUGGGGAUCAAACAGGAUUAGAUACCCUGGUAGUCCACGCCGUAAACGAUGAGUGCUAAGUGUUAGGGGGUUUCCGCCCCUUAGUUCUGCAGCUAACGCAUUAAGCACUCCGCCUGGGGAGUACGACCGCAAGGUUGAAACUCAAAGGAAUUGACGGGGACCCGCACAAGCGGUGGAGCAUGUGGUUUAAUUCGAAGCAACGCGAAGAACCUUACCAAAUCUUGACAUCCUUUGACAACU